GUUCAAAUGAGAAAAGGCUUACAGUAGAUACCUAGGCACCCAUAGAUAAGGAAGGGCAUAGUAAUCGACGAAAUGCUUUAGGGAGUUGGAAAUAAGCAUAGAUCCAAAGAUUCCCCAAUAGGGCAACCUUUCAAACUGCAGUUUAAUCUAUGGGCAGGAAAGAGACAACCAGGCGAACUAAAACAUCUUUGUAGCCAGAGGAAAAGAAAGCAAAAGUGAUUCCCAUAGUAGCAGCGAGCGAAAUAGGAGCAGCCUAAACCAGGAAAAUAGGAAUGUGGGAGAGCAAUACAAGUGUCGUGCUGCUAGGCGAAGGACCCUGAAUGCUACACCCUAGAUGGCCAAAGACCAGUAGCCAAGAGCAUCACUAGCUUACUCUCUGACCCGAGUAGCAUGGGGCAUAUGGAAUCCCGUGUGAAUCAGCAAGGACCACCUUGUAAGGCUAAAUACUCCUGGGUGACCAAUAGCGAAGUAGUACCAUGAGGGAAGGGUGAAAAGAACCCCCAUCGGGGAGUGAAAUAGAACAUGAAACCAUAAGCUACCAAGCAGUGGGAGGAGCCAUGGCUCUAACCGCGUGCCUAUUGCAAAAUGAGCCAGCGACUCAUAGGCAGUGGCUUGGUUAAGGGAACCCACCGCAGCCGUAAUAAAAAUGAGUCUUCAUAGGGCAAUUGUUACUGCUUAUGGACCCAAACCUAGGUGAUCUAUCCAUAACCAGGAUGAAGCUUGGGUGAAACUAAGUGGAGGUCCGAAUCGACUGAUGUUGAAGAAUCAGCGGAUAAGUUGUGGUUAAUAAUAAAAUACUACUCGAACCCAGAGCUAGCUGGUUCUCCCUGAAAUGCAUUGAGGCGCAGAAAUUGACUGGACAUCUAGGGGUAAAGCACUAUUUUGGUGCAGGCCACGAGAGCGGUACCAAAUCGAGGAAAACUCUAAAUACUAGGUAUCACCUCAAAAUUAAAAAAGAGGGGUCAAAGUCAGCUAGUGAGACGAUGAGGGAUAAGCUUCAUCGUCGAGAGGGAAACAACCCGGAUUACCAGCUAAGGCCCCUAAAUGGCCACUCAGUGAUAAAGGAGGUAGGGGUGCAGAGACAGCCAGGAGGUUUGCCUAGAAGCAGCCACCCUUGAAAGAGUGCGUAAUAGCUCACUGAUCGAGCGCUCUUGCGCCGAAGAUGAACGGGGCUAAGCGAUCUGCCAAAGCUGUGGGGUGUAAAAAUACAUCGGUAGGGGAGCGUUCCACCUUAGAAGAAAGCCUCUGCAUGAGCGGUGGAUGAAGCGAAAGCGAGAAUGUCAGCUUGAGUAAUGCAAUCAUUGGUGAUAAUCCAAUGCCUCAAAAACCUAAGGGUUCCUCCGCAAGGUUCAUCCACAAAGGGUGAUUCAGGGCCUAAGAUCAAGCUGAAAGGCAUAGUCGAUGGACAACAGGUGAAUAUUCCUGUACUAACCCUUGUUGGUCCCGAGGGAUGGAGGAGGCUAGGUUAGCCGAAAGAUGGUUAUCGGUUCAAGAACAUAAGGUGUCCCUGCCCUUUUUUCAGGGUAAGAAGGGGUAGAGAAAAUGCCUCGAGCCAAUAUUCGAAUACCACGCGCUACGGUGCUGAAGUAACCCAUGCCAUACUCCCAGAAAAAGCUCAAACGACUUUGAGCAAGAGGGUACCUAUACCCGAAACUGACACAGGUGGGUAGGUAGAGAAUACCUAGGGGCAUGAGACAACUCUCUCUAAGGAACUCGGCAAAAUAGCCCCAUAACUUCGCAAGAAGGGGUGCCUCUUCACAUCACAAAGAGGGUCGUAGGCGUGAGACUAUGUAUGGGGGAUAAAGCCUGCCCAGUGCCAGAAGGUCAAGGAAGUUAGUGACCUGAUGAUAGGGGAGUUAGCGACCGAAACCCCGGUGAAUGACGGCCAUAACUAUAACGGUCCUAAGGUAAUGAAAUUUCUUGUCAGGUAAGUUUCGACCCGUAUGAAAGUCGUAACGAUCUGGGCACUGUCUCGAAGAGAGGCUCGGUGAAAUAGAUAUGUCUGUGAAGAUGCGGAAUACCUGCACCUGGACAGAAAGACCCUAUGAAGGUUCACUGUUCCCUGGGAUUGGCUUUGGGCCUUUCCUGCGCAGCUUAGGUGGAAGGCGAAGAAAGCCUCUUUUGGGGGGGCCUGACCCAUUAGUGAGAUACCACUCUGGAAGGGCUAAAAUUCUAACCUUGUGUCAGGACCUACGGGCCAAGGGACAGUCUUAGGUAGACAGUUUCUAUGGGGUGUAGGCCUCCCGAAAGGUAACGGAGGCGUGCAAAGGUUUCCUCGGGCAGGACGGAGAUUGGCCCUCAAGUGGAAAGGCAGAAGGUAGCUUGACUGCAAGACCCACCCGUCGAGCAGGGACGAAAGUCGGCCUUAGUAAUCCGAUGGUGCCGAGUGGAAGGGCCGUCGCUCAAUGGAUAAAAGUUACUCUAGGGAUAACAGGCUUAUCUUUCCCAAGAGCUCAUAUCAACGGGAAGGUUUGGGACCUCGAUGUCGGCUCUUUGCCACCUAGGGCUGUAGUAUGUUCCAAAGGUUGGGCUGUUCGCCCAUUAAAGCGGUACGUGAGCUGGGUUCAGAAUGUCGUGAGACAGUUCGGUCCAUAUCCAAUGUGGGAGUUAGAGAAUUGAUAGGACCUUUCCCUAGUACGAGAGGACUGGGAAGGACGCACCUGUGGUGUACCAGUUAUCGUGCCCACGGUAAAUGCAGGGUAGCCAAGUCCGGAGCGGAUAACUGCUGAAUGUAUCUAAGUAGUAAGCCCACCCUAAGAUGAGUGCUCUCCUAUUUUGACUUCCCCAGAGCUUCCGGUAGCACAGCCAAGACAGCGACAGGUUCUCUUCCCCUGCAGGGAUGGAGCGACAAAAGUUUUUUUGAGAAUUUAAGAAAAGGUCACGGCGAGACGGGUCGUUUAUCAUUACGAUAGGUGUCAAGUGGAAGUGCAGUGAUGUAUACAGCUGAGGCAUCCUAACAGACCGAUAGACUUGAACCU
rfam:Capsicum annuum cultivar Zunla-1 unplaced genomic scaffold scaffold4217, whole genome shotgun sequence